AGAGUUUGAUCAUGGCUCAGAGCGAACGCUGGCGGCAGGCUUAACACAUGCAAGUCGAGCGGGCGUAGCAAUACGUCAGCGGCAGACGGGUGAGUAACGCGUGGGAACAUACCUUUUGGUUCGGAACAACACAGGGAAACUUGUGCUAAUACCGGAUAAGCCCUUACGGGGAAAGAUUUAUCGCCGAAAGAUUGGCCCGCGUCUGAUUAGCUAGUUGGUGAGGUAACGGCUCACCAAGGCGACGAUCAGUAGCUGGUCUGAGAGGAUGAUCAGCCACAUUGGGACUGAGACACGGCCCAAACUCCUACGGGAGGCAGCAGUGGGGAAUAUUGGACAAUGGGCGCAAGCCUGAUCCAGCCAUGCCGCGUGAGUGAUGAAGGCCCUAGGGUUGUAAAGCUCUUUUGUGCGGGAAGAUAAUGACGGUACCGCAAGAAUAAGCCCCGGCUAACUUCGUGCCAGCAACCGCGGUAAUACGAAGGGGGCUAGCGUUGCUCGGAAUCACUGGGCGUAAAGGGUGCGUAGGCGGGUCUUUAAGUCAGGGGUGAAAUCCUGGAGCUCAACUCCAGAACUGCCUUUGAUACUGAGGAUCUUGAGUUCGGGAGAGGUGAGUGGAACUGCGAGUGUAGAGGUGAAAUUCGUAGAUAUUCGCAAGAACACCAGUGGCGAAGGCGGCUCACUGGCCCGAUACUGACGCUGAGGCACGAAAGCGUGGGGAGCAAACAGGAUUAGAUACCCUAGUAGUCC
rnacentral:rRNA from 1 species